GGCGGCGUGCUUACACAUGCAAGUCGAACGAUGAAGCCCAGCUUGCUGGGUGGAUUAGUGGCGAACGGGUGAGUAACACGUGAGUAACCUGCCCUUGACUCUGGGAUAACCGUUGGAAACGACGUCUAAUACCGGAUACAAACUUCCACCGCAUGGUGAGUUGUUGGAAAGAAUUUUGGUCUAGGAUGGACUCCCGGCCUAUCAACUUGGUGGUGAGGUAAUGGCUCACCAAGGGGACCACCGGUAGCCCGCCUGAAAGGGUGACCGGCCACACUGGGACUGAAACACGGCCCAAACUCCUACGGGAGGCAGCAGUGGGGAAUAUUGCACAAUGGGCGAAAGCCUGAUGCAACACCGCCGCGUGAGGGACGACGGCCUUCGGGUUGUAAACCUCUUUUAACACGGAAGAAUCAAAAGUGACGGUACCUGCAGAAAAAGCACCGGCUAACUACGUGCCAGCAGCCGCGGUAAUACGUAGGGUGCAAGCGUUGUCCGGAAUUAUUGGGCGUAAAGAGCUCGUAGGCGGUUUGUCGCGUCUGCUGUGAAAUCCCGAGGCUCAACCUCGGGUCUGCAGUGGGUACGGGCAGACUAGAGUGCGGUA
rnacentral:rRNA from 1 species